rnacentral:lncRNA from 1 species
UGGGUCAUUAUGGGUCUCUAUGGGUCGCUCUGGCUCUGGUUAUGGGUCCCUAUGGGUCGCUAUGGGUCUCUAUGGGUCUCUAUGGGUCUCUAUGUGUCUCUAUGGGUCCCUAUGGGUCCCUAUGGGUCUCUAUGGGUCCCAGUGCUUUUCUAUGGGUCUCGAUGGGUCUCUGUGGGUCGCUAUGGGUCGCAGUGGGUCUCUAUGGGUUGCAGUGGGUCGCUCUGGGUCUGGUUAUGGGUCGCUAUGGGUCGCAGUGGGUCUCUAUGGGUCGCGGUGGGUCGCUAUGGGUCGCUAUGGGUCUCUGUGGCUCUCUAUGGGUCCCUAUGUGUCUCUAUGUGUGUCUAUGGGUCUCUAUGGGUCUCUAUGGGUCUCUAUGGGUCUCUAUGGGUCCCAGUGCUUUUCUAUGGGUCUCUAUAGGUCUGGUUAUGGGUCCCUAUGGGUCGCAGUGGGUUGCUAUGGGUCUGGUUAUGGGUCUCUAUGGGUCCCUAUGUGUCUCUAUGUGUCCCUAUGGGUCGCUAUGGGUCCCUAUGGGUCGCUAUGGGUCGCAGUGGGUUGCUAUGGGUCUGGUUAUGGGUCUCUAUGGGUCCCUAUGUGUCCCUAUGUGUCUCUAUGGGUCGCUAUGGGUCUCUCUCUAUCGGUCUCUAUGGGUUGCUAUGGGUCUCUAUGGGUCGCUAUGGGUCUCUAUGGGUCUCUAUGGGUCGCUAUGGGUCACUAUGGGUCCCUAUGGGUCUGGUUAUGUGUCGCUAUGGGUCCCAGUGGGUCUCUCUGGGUCUGGUUAUGUGUCGCUAUGGGUCCCAGUGGGUCUCUCUGGGUCUGGUUAUGGGUCUCUAUGGGUCGCAGUGGGUCUCUAUGGGUCCCUAUGGGUCGCUAUGGGUCCCUAUGGGUCGCUAUGGGUCGCAGUGGGUUGCUAUGGGUCUGGUUAUGGGUCUCUAUGGGUCUCUAUGGGUCCCUAUGUGUCUCUAUGUGUCUCUAUGGGUCGCUAUGGGUCGCUAUGGGUCCCUAUGGGUCCCUAUGGGUCUCUAUGGGUCUCUAUGGGUCGCUAUGGGUCGCUAUGGGUCGCUAUGGGUCCCUAUGGGUCUCUAUGGGUCGCAGUGGGUCUCUAUGGGUCGCAGUGGGGCUGACCAGCGCAGGUCCCUGAGCAGCUCCCAGUGCCGCGCGCUGUGGGGCCGGGCCUGGGGGGCGGAGCUCAGCGCCUCCAAAGUCUCCGCCCACGUCGGGGUGGCCCCGCCCCCCAGGCGAAGCCCCGCCCCCAGCAGCUCCAGCAGC